ACUGCUUUACGGCUCAUUUGCAUCGCCUCCGCCGCAGACUCUUCUCUCUCGCCGGAGUGCCGCUCCGCCACCGCCUCGUCAUCAUCGAGGAAGACCAUCAUCGCCUCAGGACUCACAGGAGUCACCAUCGGCAUUGUCGCCUCCUCAAACCUCUCCGGCGUUGCCUCAUGCCUAAACAUUGCUUCAAAGCUCAUCUGAUUCCUGUACUUCAUCGGCAUCGGUGCUUUCACUAUCACGGAGAAGACGCGAAGAGGACUGGAGUUCAUCGGAGUUCGAGAAGCCGCUGGUCGUGACUGGCAUCUUCAUUAGGCCGUAUGCCUACACCACAUGAGUUGUUUCUUUUUACUCACACUAAGAAACAUGAUGGACAAAUUUUUAUUGAUGAAAAGUCUAAAUCACUCAAUGAUAAAGUAUUGAGCUUGAGAGAUGCACCUCAAACAAUUUCUCGAUCUAGAAAUGUUAAUUCUCAACCAAUAGAUGAGGUCGCACUUUAUUAUGAGGCAGUUGGUGGUGAAAAAAAGAGAAGGGUGUAUGGUCUUGGAUCUCAAGCAUCUUAUUAUUGUGGUGGUAAUACAAAUGCAAGCAAAUCAAGUACUAGCUCUUUUGAAUCAAAAAAUCAAGAGGAGCUUCAAAAUGAGUUGGCAACUAUGAAGAAGAAGAUAGAGGCUCAAGAUAAUUUGAUAGUUGAUUUGCAAAGAACAAUUGAGAUGUUGUGUAAUCACAUUGUUAUGCCUCCUCUACAUGGAACACAAAAUGCAAGUAACAAUCAACCAGAGGAGAGUGAAGGCACAAGAGAUGGAGAUGGAGAUGGUGGUGAAGAUCCUGGACUUUUAUAAAUAUUUGUGCUUUAAUUGCUACUUUUUGCUUGUCUAACUUUGGGUAUUUUUUUGUAUUGUUACUUGUUGUUGAUUUCUUACAUUCUUAUGUAGUGGUAUUGUUGAUAUCCUAAAUACUUAUGGAUUGCUAUAUUUUAUUUAUAGUAUAAUUUAUAAAAAUAUUAGA